rnacentral:rRNA from 1 species
AUGUCUUUGAUUAUAAUUUAAAGUCUGGCCUGCCCAAUGAGGAAUUGAAUGGCCGCGGUAUUUUGACCGUGCAAAGGUAGCAUAAUCAUUAGUUUUUUAAUUGAAAGCUGGUAUGAAUGGUUGGACGAGAAAAUAACUGUCUCAAUCUAAUUUUAAUUAGAAUUUUAUUUUUAAGUUAAAAAGCUUAAAUGAAUUUAAAAGACGAGAAGACCCUAUAGAGUUUUAUAUUUAUUAGUAUAUUAAUAAUUUGGUAUAUCUUUAAUUUUUAUACUAAUAAUUAUUUUGUUGGGGUGACAGGAAAAUUUAGUUAACUUUUUUUUAUUGUUAACAUUGAUUUAUGAUCAAAUGAUCCGUUUUUUACGAUUAAAAGAUUAAAUUACCUUAGGGAUAACAGCGUAAUUUUUUUUGAGAGUUCUUAUCGAAAAAAGAGUUUGCGACCUCGAUGUUGGAUUAAAAUUAACUUUUGGUGCAGAAGCUAGAAGGUUGGGUCUGUUCGACCUUUAAAAUUUUACA